CGUGUAGGCGGUUGGUUAAGUCUGGUGUGAAAGCCCGAAGCUUAGCUUCGGAAGUGCGCCGGAAACUGGCCGACUAGAGCGCGGUAGAGGAGGGUGGAAUUCCUGGUGUAGCGGUGAAAUGCGUAGAUAUCAGGAGGAACACCGGCGGCGAAGGCGGCCCUCUGGACCGUUGCUGACGCUGAGACGCGAAAGCGUGGGGAGCAAACA
rnacentral:rRNA from 1 species